rnacentral:rRNA from 1 species
GACGAACGCUGGCGGCAUGCCUAAUACAUGCAAGUCGAGCGAACAGAUGAAGUGCUUGCACUUCUGACGUUAGCGGCGAACGGGUGAGUAACACGUAAGGAAUCUACCUAUAAGCGGGGGAUAACAUUCGGAAACGGGUGCUAAUACCGCAUAAUAUCUUCUUCCGCAUGGAAGAAGAUUGAAAGAUAGCUCUGCUGUCACUUAUAGAUGACCUUGCGGUGCAUUAGUUAGUUGGUGGGGUAAUGGCCUACCAAGACGAUGAUGCAUAGCCGACCUGAGCGGGUGAUCGGCCACAUUGGGACUGAGGCACGGCCCAAACUCCUACGGGAGGCAGCAGUAGGGAAUCUUCCGCAAUGGGCGAAAGCCUGACGGAGCAAUGCCGCGUGAGUGAAGAAGGCCUUCGGGUCGUAAAACUCUGUUAUAAGAGAAGAACAAAUUGUAGAGUAACUGCUACAGUCUUGACGGUAUCUUAUCAGAAAGCCACGGCUAACUACGUGCCAGCCGCCGCCGUAA